rnacentral:rRNA from 1 species
UACGGAGGGGGCUAGCGUUGUUCGGAAUUACUGGGCGUAAAGCGCACGUAGGCGGCUUUGUAAGUUAGAGGUGAAAGCCCAGGGCUCAACCCUGGAAUUGCCUUUAAGACUGCAUCGCUAGAAUUGUGGAGAGGUAAGUGGAAUUCCGAGUGUAGAGGUGAAAUUCGUAGAUAUUCGGAAGAACACCAGCGGCGAAGGCGACUUACUGGACACAUAUUGACGCUGAGGUGCGAAAGCGUGGGGAGCAAACAGG